AGAAAUUGGUACUUUUUGGCCCA
rnacentral:siRNA from 1 species